GUGCUUGCUUUGGCUGCACAUAUACUAAAAUUGGAAUGAUGCAGAGAAGAUUAGCAUGGCCGCUGCACAAGAAUGACACACAAAUUCAUGAAGCAUUCCAUUAUUUU
rnacentral:snRNA from 1 species